UACGGGGGGGGCAAGCGUUGUUCGGAAUUACUGGGCGUAAAGGGCUCGUAGGUGGCCAACUAAGUCAGACGUGAAAUCCCUCGGCUUAACCGGGGAACUGCGUCUGAUACUGGAUGGCUUGAGUUUGGGAGAGGGAUGCGGAAUUCCAGGUGUAGCGGUGAAAUGCGCAGAUAUCAGGAGGAACACCGAUGGCGAAGGCAGGUCUCUGGGCUGUAACUGACGCUGAGGAGCGAAAGCAUGGGGAGCGAACAGG
rnacentral:rRNA from 1 species